UGCAACUCGCCUGCAUGAAGUCGGAAUUGCUAGUAAUCGUGGAUCAGCAUGCCACGGUGAAUACGUUCCCGGGCCUUGUACACACCGCCCGUCACACCAUGAGAGUCGGGAACACCCGAAGUCCGUAGCCUAACCGCAAGGAGGGCGCGGCCGAAGGUGGGUUCGAUAAUUGGGGUGAAGUCGUAACAAGGUACC
rnacentral:rRNA from 1 species